CAGUGUUUGCAUAGCUGUUGUGACCAGUGACACCGAGCAAUGUUGGGCAGACCAGGCCACCAGUGCCUUCCCACUGAAGAGGAAGCAUUGUCCAGCAUUCUGAGGUCAGGUGUAUCCACUGAGUGCAUGCACUCUGGAAGUAACAAUGCUGACCAAUUUUUGAGAGGAAAAUUACCUCUGACGCUAGCCCUCCUUAAACAGCAUCACUAGCACCACUAAUUAUCACUCCACCAUGGUCAGAGACAGACAGACUGGACACGUGCUUCCUAGGCACCAGGUUUUCACCAAAGGAAUUUCAUCAGUAGUUAUAUAUUUAGUUAUAUAUAUAAUAUACGCCUUUGUGCACCAAUAAACUGGUGGUUUAGACACCAUAGUGGCACCUGCUGGCAUUAGCAAGAUGGCCUAAUGGUUAGGUCUCAGGUGAGGUUGGUUGUUGCCGUUCCUCAGCAGAGCAAAACAGGAGGGAGACUGGCAGAGCACCAGCGCUCAGCCUGCCCCAGGGGAGCAGGGUGGCAGUGCCAGCCUCGCCAGAGCGCCCCUUGCUCACCACCGCAGCCCCACCACAGUGGGCAGCACUGUGAGUCCCAGGCAUGCAGGGCAGUCCUGCAAGCCUAAAAACAGCUUACUGCAAGCUGCAGCAAACUGCAGCUAGAAACCAUUGCUUCUGUGAGAACAGUAAAUUGUUUUCCUCUCUUUUUCAAGAAUUAUUAGCCAUGUAGUCACUAAUAACUAUGGCUUUGAUCAUAACUAUGGGGCAGACUGUUUCUUUUUCCCAUGACAGCUGAGAAACAUUGAAAAUGCAGUUGUUUUAGCAAUUUAAUCUCCUUCUCCUCGGUGAACCCGUAUGUUAUUUACUCCAGCACAGGGCACGUCCUGCAGGCAACUACGGAAUCAGCCUCCUAAGCGGCCACGCUGCAUACCACGCUGGUAGGGUUUUUUUGGAUGCUUUAGGUAGCACUGAUGUUCUCCGCACCAGUCUGCCCUCACUGGCCUGGGAGCAGCAGGCAGACAGGUAAGGGAAUCGCAGCCAAACCGAGCCGGCCACGUUGCUCCCCGGCCCACAGAGCAGAAGGAGGAAAAAGCACCCUUCCUUUAGCUGGAGCUGGCUUUCGGUUUGGGACUCGCGGUUCAGGACUCGGGGUCUCUACCCCCGCUAACAACGACUGGAAGCGAAAGGCUCUCCGCAAUCUGACAGCAGCGCCUUACCGAGGAGCUGGCAGGACACCUGCAGCGGGAUGCUCCGGGGACUGCCCGCCCCCAGCUGCCCCCCCAGGGCCCGGUCCCGGCCCCGGUCCGUCUCCGGAGCGGCCCCCGGCCCCGCUCCCCUUCUCUGGCCGCCUUCUACCUGCGCCCUCCCGCGGGGCCGUCGCUCACCGGCCCGCCGCGGCUUCCACCGCCCUCCCGCGGGGGCCGGCGCUCGGGGAGGAGCGGCUCGGCCCGGCUCGGCUCCGCCGGGCCCGGCUUGGCCCGGCCCCGCCGCCACGGGCGGAGACGGAGGCGGUGCCGAGCCCCGAGCGCCGCGCUGCGUCCCCACGGCCGCUGCCGCACCGAGCACCGGGGCCUCUCCCCGCACCCCCGGCGGCGGAGCGGAGCCCAGCGGGUUGCCCGGCGACUCUCGAGCCCCCUCCCGGCUCCGCUGCUCCGGAUAAAUAUAAAUAACUAUACACUUAGUUAGCAGCCCUGGAUAAUAUAUAUCCCCUCCAUCCCCAUCUCUCGCAGCCCUCGGCCCUCCUACGUGCUCCGGGUUUGGGAAGCCCUCGGGAAUUCGGGUCCCGCUUGGCCCCUUCGCCCGGUGCCCCGCUCUGCCCCACACGGGAGCGGUGGCCCUCGUUCCCCGAGGUCUUCUGCUCAGCCUGCUGCCGGGGCCCUGCGGCUGCCGUCACCCCCAGGGAUCUCCGUCAGGAGCCUGGCGGCUCUCCCCGGUCCUACCGGCAGAGAAAGAAAGAAACCGACGGCAGCACGGCACCAAGUCCCCUCACGGAGAAGGCAGCCGUGGGCUCCCGUUGGCUUGGAGCCGCGCCGUCGGGCCGGGCUCCGCCAGGAGCCGCCGAUGAAUGGGAGAGCCCGAGCGGAGGAGACCCGGGCAUCUGCUCAGCCUCAAACCUCCCCCGUUCGUCGGUGUCCGGCGGGCCGGGUCCCGGAGGAGCGGGGAGGGGAAGCCACGGUGCCAAAGUGCUCACCCGGCACGGCCCCGCCGACCGGCGCGGGGCCCGGGCUGAAAUUUUGUUUUCGGCAUUUUCAUGCCCGGCGGCGGCCAGCCCCGAGUCUCUCUCUCCCUGUCGCCCCCGGCCCCGGCACGGUUGCCCCGUCUUCCUCCGGGGCUUGGGACGGACGCUGUCCCCGAGCGGACCGCCCGACGGGUCAAGGCGGUCCCGCAAAUCCUCUUGCCGGUACCUCUUCCCGCUACCUGCGGUCCCCGCACACCCCGACCCUGCGGACAGCGGCUCCGGGUGGGUUAGCAGCCGCCGCCACCCGGGACUCGCUCUAGCACCGAGAACCGCACCACCGCCGCCCCCUCGGGCUGAGCCACCGGCAGCCGGCGGCCCCGUUGAGGGGGGCAGGAGGCUCAGGCGCGGUCGUAGCGAGACAACGAAUUUCCGUGGGGAAACCACGGGGGCGUUUAACGUGCGGUCAGCGGGAGCCGUGCGGCCGGGAGGGCCGCCCGCCUCGACCGGGCUCCUCUGGGUGUCCCGGGAGCCCGAGGGAACGGGUGUCCCGUUAAGGUCGGGUGGAUGCAGGGACUCUCCCGGCCUCCCGGCCCCGACCAGAGGUGCCCAGGCCGUCUCCCUCCACCUGGGCUUGUCCUUUCGAUGGUUUCCCAAAAAGUGACCCUCUCAGCUGCCCGAAACGGCGAAAGACGGAUUUUUUUUUUUUUUUCUUUGGAAAGAAACAGGUGGCAGCACCUGGGCCGGGAGCGGGGCCCGGCCGGGGACACUGCAGCCAUGCCCGGCUGCAGCGGCGCGGGGUCCCGGGCAAGCUGCCGCCGGCUUUUCCUUCGACGGCCGAGCCCGGGAGCUGGGCGGCUCCUUGCAAACCGUGGGGGCGCCCGGUGCGGUGUCCCGGAGCCGCUACACCGGGCAGUCGGGAUCCACCGCAUCCCCACCUCCCGCAGGGGCUGUCCGUGAGGGGCGGAGGGGGGCUCCUCGGGGGCACCCAUCCCUCCGCAGGUCCCUCUCCAGCCUCUCCUCGACGGGACGGCGGGGGGGUGAGGAGGGUGCCGCCACCGGUGCCACCGGCAGGGCCGUGCCUCGGCGGCCGGUGUCGGCGCAGCGCGGCCUGGAGGAGCGCAGCGGAGGGGGUGCGACCCGGUGGCGGUGGCGGUGCGGGUGGCGGUGCCGGUGCCGGUGGCUGCGCGCG
rnacentral:lncRNA from 1 species